CUGAACCAGGUUAUAAUCGAGUUGAGGUAGUGGCAGACAAAGAUAUUGCGAUGGAUGGUGGGAGUGCAGAGAAGGCAAUGGGAGUUGAAGAAGAAGGAAACACGACUCCAGUUCCUGAGAGGGUGCAAGUGGGUAACUCUCCUAUGUAUAAAAUAGAAAGGAAGUUGGGUAAGGGUGGUUUUGGCCAAGUUUAUGUUGGCAGAAGGGUAAGUGGUGGUACUGACAGAACUGGACCUGAUGCAAUUGAGGUCGCAUUGAAGUUUGAGCACCGAAAUAGCAAAGGUUGCAAUUAUGGUCCUCCUUAUGAGUGGCAAGUGUAUAAUACUUUAAAUGGAUGUUAUGGAAUUCCUUGGGUGCAUUACAAGGGUCGUCAAGGAGAUUUCUACAUUUUGGUCAUGGACAUGCUUGGACCCAGUCUUUGGGAUGUUUGGAAUUCCCUGGGCCAAUCGAUGUCACCAAGUAUGGUGGCCUGCAUUGCUGUGGAGGCAAUAUCAAUUCUUGAAAAGCUUCAUAUGAAGGGGUUUGUGCAUGGAGACGUGAAACCAGAAAAUUUUUUGCUUGGUCAACCUGGAAGUGCUGAUGAAAAAAAGCUAUAUCUUAUUGAUCUUGGUUUGGCAUCUAGAUGGAAAGAUGCAUCAUCUGGUCAACAUGUUGACUAUGAUCAGAGGCCUGAUGUAUUCAGGGGAACAAUAAGGUAUGCUAGUGUACAUGCACAUUUAGGCCGAACUGGAAGUCGGAGGGAUGAUCUCGAGUCAUUGGCUUACACAUUGAUAUUUCUUAUAAAAGGAAGAUUACCCUGGCAGGGGUAUCAGGGGGAUAAUAAGAGUUUUCUUGUUUGUAAGAAAAAGAUGGCCACUUCUCCAGAGUUGAUGUGUUGUUUUUGUCCUGCCCCAUUCAAACAAUUCCUUGAAGCGGUUACAAAUAUGAAGUUUGAUGAGGAGCCCAACUAUUCAAAGCUAAUAUCUUUUUUUGAAAGCCUUAUUGAACCUUGCACACCAUUAAGACCAAUUAGAAUUGAUGGAGCUCUUAAGGUUGGACAAAAGCGUGGAAGAUUGCUUAUAAACUUGGAAGAGGAUGAGCAACCAAAGAAGAAAGUACGAUUAGGCAGUCCUGCUACACAGUGGAUUUCUGUUUACAAUGCUCGUCGACCAAUGAAGCAGAGAUAUCAUUAUAAUGUGGCAGAUGCAAGGCUGCGCCAGCAUGUGGACAAAGGGAAUGAAGAUGGGUUAUAUAUCAGUUGUGUGGCCUCUUCAGCUAAUCUCUGGGCCCUAAUCAUGGAUGCUGGAACUGGUUUCACUACGCAGGUUUAUGAACUGUCAGCUGUCUUCCUGCACAAGGAUUGGAUUAUGGAACAGUGGGAAAAGAAUUUCUAUAUUAGUUCAAUAGCUGGUGCAAGCAAUGGAAGUUCAUUAGUUGUUAUGUCCAAAGGAACUCCUUACACCCAGCAGUCAUACAAAGUGAGUGAAUCUUUUCCUUUCAAGUGGAUAAAUAAGAAGUGGAAAGAAGGCUUUCAUGUCACAUCCAUGACAACUGCUGGCAGUCGCUGGGGUGUGGUGAUGUCCAGGAAUGCUGGAUAUUCAGAUCAGGUUGUGGAGCUUGAUUUUUUGUACCCAAGUGAAGGAAUACAUCGGCGAUGGGAAAGUGGUUACAGGAUCACAUCUAUGGCUGCCACUGCUGAUCAGGCCGCCUUCAUAUUAAGCAUACCAAAACGGAAAAUGGUGGAUGAAACUCAGGAAACACUUCGUACCUCUGCCUUCCCAAGCACCCAUGUAAAGGAAAAAUGGUCCAAAAACCUCUACAUU
rnacentral:misc_RNA from 1 species